rnacentral:tRNA from 1 species
GCCUGGGUGGCUCAGUCGGUUGAGCAUCCGACUUCGGCUCAGGUCACGAUCUCGCGGUUCGUGGGUUCGAGCCCCGCGUCGGGCU